UAAUGAGGGAAGGAAAAGAAACUAACUAGGAUUUUCUUAGUAGCGGCGAGCGAAAAGAAAAUUAGUUCAGCACUAAGUUAAUUUGUAUAUAUUACAAAAUUAAGAUGCAGUGUAUGGAAUAUCUAUAAUCUAGUAUGAUAAAUUAACAGUUCAAGUCCUUCUUAAAUGAGGCCAUUUACCCAUAGAGGGUGCCAGGCCCGUAGAGGCGUUAAUGAUUACUAGAAGAUAUUUCCUAAGAGUCGUGUUGCUUGAUAGUGCAGCACAAAUUUGGUGGUAAACUCCAUCUAAAACUAAAUAUAACCAUGAGACCGAUAGCAAACAAGUACCGUGAGGGAAAGUUGAAAAGAACUCUGAAUAGAGAGUUAAAUAGUACGUGAAACUGCUUAGAGGUUAAGCCCGAUGAACCUAAAUAUCCAAAUAUGAAAAAUUCAUCAUAAAUAUUAAAUUAUAUUUAUAUAUUUUAUUAUAUAUUUUAUAAUAUAAAAAUUAUGUGCAAUUUUUUCAUAUAAGGACAUUGUAAUCUGUUAAUAUAAUAAUAAAUUUAUCAAAAGUUCUGCUUGAUUAAGUUUAUAUUUAAUUAUAAAAAUUUAUUUUUUUAUAAUUUAUAUAAAAAUCAAUUUAAAUGCGGUAACAGAUAAAUUAUUGACAGAUUUUACAUAUAUAGCGCUAUAUACAUAUAUCUAAGAUAUUUGUUAAUAUUUAUAAUAUAUUAAUUUAUAUUAAUAUAUUAUAAUUAUUAUGCGUUUAUAUGAUUGACAAUGCUAUAGAUUUAGGAUACCUUCGGGACCCGUCUUGAAACACGGACCAAGGAGUCUAACAUAUGUGCAAGUCAUUGGGUUAAAUAUAAAAACCUAAAGGCGUAAUUAACUUAACUAUUUAAUAUGGGAUCAUAUAUAUAUAAAUUUUAUUUUUUAUAUAUAUUCCAUCCUGGGGCGUUCAAUAUAGUUAUGUAUUUUAAUAUAAUUUCUUUUAAAGUUAUUAUAUUAUUAAUGCCUCUAACUAGAGCGUACCUUGAGCAUAUAUGUUGUGACCCGAAAGAUGGUGAACUAUACCUGAUCAGGUUGAAGUCAGGGGAAACCCUGAUGGAAGACCGAAACAGUUCUGACGUGCAAAUCGAUUGUCAGAAUUGGGUUUAGGGGCGAAAGACCAAUCGAACCAUCUAGUAGCUGGUUCCCUCCGAAGUUUCCCUCAGGAUAGCUGGUGCAUUUAAAUAUUAUAAGAAAUAAUCUUAUCUGGUAAAGCGAAUGAUUAGAGGCCUUAGGGCCGAAACGACCUUAACCUAUUCUCAAACUUUAAAUGGGUAAGAACCUAACCUUUCUUGAUAUGAAGGUUUAGGUUAUGAUAUAUUGUGCCCAGUGGGCCACUUUUGGUAAGCAGAACUGGCGCUGUGGGAUGAACCAAACGUGAUGUUACGGCGCCAAAAUUAACAACUCAUACUGAUACCAUGAAAGGCGUUGCUUGCUUAAAACAGCAGGACGGUGGACAUGGAAGUCGUAAUCCGCUAAGGAGUGUGUAACAACUCACCUGCCGAAGCAACUAGCCCUUAAAAUGGAUGGCGCUCAAGUUGUAUGCCUAUACAUCACCGUUAAAGUAUAUGAUCUAUUUAAAAAUAUUGAAACUUUAUAUAAAUUUUGAAACUUUAAUGAGUAGGAGGGUACAAUUGUGUGCGUGGAAGUGUUUGGCGUAAGCCUGCAUUGAGCCGCAAUUGGUACAGAUCUUGGUGGUAGUAGCAAAUAAUCGAAUGAGACCUUGGAGGACUGAAGUGGAGAAGGGUUUCGUGUGAACAGUGGUUGAUCACGAGUUAGUCGGUCCUAAGUUCAAGGCGAAAGCCGAAAAAAUUUAAGUAAAAAUAAUUAAUUAAAUAUUAUAAUAAACUUAAAUAAAUUUGAACGAAAGGGAAUACGGUUCCAAUUCCGUAACCUGUUGAGUAUACGUUUGUUAUUAAAUAUGGGCUUUUAUGCUCAUCCUGGUAACAGAAACAACCAUAAAGAAGCCGUCGAGAAAUAUCGAAAGAGUUUUCUUUUCUGUUUUAUAGUUGUACUACCAUGGAAGUCUUUCGAAGAGAGAUAUGGUAGAUGGACUAGAAGAGCAUGGCAUUUACUGCUGUGUCGAUAUUUUCUCUUCGGACCUUGAAAAUUUAUGGUGGGGUCACGCAAACCUCUCAACAGGCCGUACCGAUAUCCGCAGCGGUCCCAAAGGGUG
rnacentral:rRNA from 1 species